AAGGCUGAGAUGGAAGAAGUCCACAUUAGAUCGCCUUUUGAAUCUGCACAUGGGCAGGAGGAAGCUAGAACUAUUGGGAGUGACUGCCACAAUAGUCAAGACAGGAGGUGUGUCAAUCCUUUGAGAAAGAUGGUUAUCUUCAUUCUGACAUAUGGAAAACAGCUUGCAACUACUAGUGAAUAAUUGAUUUUUCAUUACAAUUUUAUUAACAGAGCCCAAAUGGACUAAGACAAGGGUCGUUCAGCAG
rnacentral:lncRNA from 1 species